rnacentral:tRNA from 1 species
GACGGUGUAGCUCAGAGGUAGAGCACUGGCUUCGGCCUUUUCCCUUUCCACAAUUUGCCCAAUGUGGGCCGGAGGUAAAGGGUUAUCAUCUGAUAAAUGAGUGGUCGCGGGUUCGAGUCCCGCCACCGUCC